GACUUUGGACUCACGUAGGCAUAGGAGAACGAAACUUCUGUACAUUUUAAUCUGAAUAAUUCUUCAGGAUUUAAAAUUAAUUGGCUCUGGCUUGGUUGGACCGUACUCGGAUCUCGCCACCUCUGCGUUUCCCGAGUCACUGGCGAAGAGGUCCCAGUUCCUCUGGGAAUCGUCCUGUAUGCAACAUCUUCACAAGAGUGGCAGGCAGUUGAAUCUCUGGCCUUCGUGGGACCACUGGACAUCUGGCAGAGAACCAGGAAACCACGGUUCCCUUCUGUGAGUCCCUCAGCCGGAAAACUACAAGCUCCUCAUGCAGCUGCUGUCUACAGACCCCCUGGACUGCCUGGGGAAGUGAGUCGGAGCUCCUGCAGCAGAGGGGUGGAACAGCUACACGAAGAUCCGAAGGUGGCCAAAAAUAACAGCGCUUUCCAGAUGAGGGAGCCAGUUGUCCAGCACAGUGUCAUGGGACAGUGGGCCCUGGUGCCACAAUGCCCGGCAUCUCCACCAGAUACAGCUUUGAGAUCUUCAUGAUGAAGCUUGCUCCAAUCCAAGGGCUGUCAGGUGGGGUUUGCGGUUCAGCUGCUAACCUUUCUUUGAUCCAAAUCCUGUCUUCACUGGCUUCAAGAAUCCUGUCUUCACUGGCUUCAAAACUGGGAUGAAGGAGGCUCCUUAGUGGAGAGCAAAGCAAAGAGAAACUCAAAUUGGAUCCAUAUUAAAGAAGAGAAGGAUGGAUUUGUUUAGACAACACAAACCUAGGAAGGGUUUGAGAGGUGAAACAAACUGGGUUAUGGAUGAACGGGGGCAAUUGGAAUGUAGAAUUGAAGCAGUAAUUAACAUCUUGAUGAGUGUAAGGCCAUUAUCAUGGACUUUUUCCCCAGCUGCAGGUAGGUGUACCCAUUUGACUGAAUUCUGGCCUAUAGGGUAAGAACGAAAUGUCUUGUGAAACUGCUCUGUUGUAC
rnacentral:lncRNA from 10 species